UACCUGCAGCUCGAGUGGUAACCGCUAUUAUUGGGCCUAAAGCGUCCGUAGCCGGUUUGGUAAAUAUCUGGGUAAAUCGUGAGGCUUAACUUCACGAAUUUCGGAUAGACUGCCAGACUUGGGAUCGGGGGAGGUCAGAGGUACUCCAGGGGUAGCGGUGAAAUGUUGUAAUCCUUGGAGGACCACCGGUAGCGAAGGCGUCUGACUAGAACGAGUCCGACGGUGAGGGACGAAGCCCUGGGGCGCAAACCGGAUUAGAUACCCGGGUAGUCCAGGGUGUAAACAAUGUGGGCUUUGUAUUGGAGGUCCCACGUGGGCGUCCAGUGCAGAAGAGAAGUUGUUAAGCCCACCGCCUGGGAAGUACGGUCGCAAGGCCGAAACUUAAAGGAAUUGGCUGGGGAGCACAGCAACGGGAGGAGCGUGCGGUUU
rnacentral:rRNA from 1 species